rnacentral:misc_RNA from 1 species
GUAUUCCAGGGAGACUAG